AAGGAAAUCAUCUGGGAAUCCUGUUAAAACACAGAUUCUGAUUUAGUGAGCUGAGGUCUGAAAUUUGCAUUUCUAACAAGUUUCCUGGUGACAUCAGA
rnacentral:pre_miRNA from 1 species